GGAAGAUAGUUCAGAGAAAUCACCUCCAGAUGGUGAUGUGCUGUCUGAAUAUUGUAUAAAUGAAGUGGACUGGUUUCAACUCCACGAGAUCAAGGGUCGCAAUGUACAGUUGUCUUCUGGUCGACUGACAGCAAAGAGUGUGGGCAGCUACAACCAGGGAGUAGUCCUCACUUCAAGAGAGAUUCUCAAAGGCCAGUUGUUUCAGGUUCGGAUAGAUGCCAUCAAUUCAAACUGGGUCUCGUCUUUAUGUAUUGGAGUAACAUCACACCCCAUAGCCACAUUCUCUUUGCCUGUCACUGCCUUAGGUCUCAAGCGGGACUCGUGGAUUAUCUGCAGUGACUUUGUCUUUCACAAUGGCCAGAAGGUUAAUUUUAUUAUUAUUAAUAAUUAAUAUAACAACUUCAAUCCGACAUAAGUGCCAUGU